rnacentral:rRNA from 1 species
CGGGUGAGUAAUGUAUGGGGAUCUGCCUGAUGGCGGGGGAUAACUACUGGAAACGGUAGCUAAUACCGCAUAACGUCGCAAGACCAAAGAGGGGGACCUUCGGGCCUCUUGCCAUCGGAUGUGCCCAGAUGGGAUUAGCUAGUAGGUGGGGUAACGGCUCACCCAGGCGACGAUCCCUAGCUGGUCUGAGAGGAUGACCAGCCACACUGGAACUGAGACACGGUCCAG